UACGUAGGGGGCGAGCGUUAUCCGGAAUUAUUGGGCGUAAAGAGUGCGUAGGUGGUCUUGUAAGCGUGGGGUGAAAGACAGUGGCUUAACCAUUGUAAGCCUUGCGAACUGUGGGACUUGAGUGCAGGAGAGGAAAGUGGAAUUCCUAGUGUAGCGGUGAAAUGCGUAGAUAUUAGGAGGAACAUCACUGGCGAAGGCGACUUUCUGGACUGUAACUGACACUGAGGCACGAAAGCGUGGGGAGCAAACAGGAUUAGAUACCCGGGUAGGUCCCUGA
rnacentral:rRNA from 1 species